rnacentral:rRNA from 2 species
AUUAGCUAGUUGGUGGAGUAAUAGCCUACCAAGGCAAUGAUCUAUAGCUGAUCUGAGAGGAUGAUCAGCCACACUGGAACUGAGAUACGGUCCAGACUCCUACGGGAGGCAGCAGUGGGGAAUAUUGGACAAUGGGCGAAAGCCUGAUCCAGCCAUGCCGCAUGAGUGAAGAAGGCCUUUGGGUUGUAAAGCUCUUUUAGUGAGGAAGAUAAUGACGGUACUCACAGAAGAAGUCCUGGCUAACUCCGUGCCAGCAGCCGCGGUAAUACGGAGAGGGCUAGCGUUAUUCGGAAUUAUUGGGCGUAAAGGGCGCGUAGGCUGAUUAAUAAGUUAAAAGUGAAAUCCCGAGGCUUAACCUUGGAAUUGCUUUUAAAACUAUUAAUCUAGAGAUUGAAAGAGGAUAGAGGAAUUCCUGAUGUAGAGGUAAAAUUCGUAAAUAUUAGGAGGAACACCAGUGGCGAAGGCGUCUAUCUGGUUCAAAUCUGACGCUGAAGCGCGAAGGCGUGGGGAGCAAACAGGAUUAGAUACCCUGGUAGUCCA